UACGUAGGGGGCAAGCGUUGUCCGGAAUCAUUGGGCGUAAAGAGCGUGUAGGCGGCCCGAUAAGUCCGCUGUGAAAGUCCAGGGCUCAACCCUGGAAUGCCGGUGGAUACUGUCGGGCUCGAGUCCGGAAGAGGAGAGUGGAAUUCCCGGUGUAGCGGUGAAAUGCGCAGAUAUCGGGAAGAACACCCGUGGCUAAGGCGGCUCUCUGGGACGGUACUGACGCUGAGACGCGAAAGCGUGGGGAGCGAACAGG
rnacentral:rRNA from 1 species